UCCACCAUGGCCAAGCGGUAAGGCAUCGGUUUUUGGUAUCGACAUGCGCAGGUUCGAAUCCUGCAGGGGCAACCA
rnacentral:tRNA from 1 species